UGAACGAAUUAUAAGGAAUAAAAAGAUAACAAUAAAAAUGCUUCGAUCCAAGAUUUUUCGAACGAGUUUUUAUCCAGUGAAAAAACCGAAGAAAACAUUGAAAGAACAAUAGGAAAAGAUCUUGUCUCGUUUCAUCUAGUUGGGCAUUCUCGCCCCGUGGAAGAAAGUUUGGCAGCAGUGGAAUUGUAAUAAAUAACACGAUCACUGGUUCCAAGCUAAGGUUAUCAUAAAUGACAAUGGAUUCGCAAGAACCGUGCUUUUCAGGGGCAAUUGCAAUGGAUUUGCAAGAACCGUGCUUUUCAGGGACAUUGAAUGGUUUACAGAAUGGCGACAUGGAUCAUUCGAAUAUUGGUGAGAAUGUUUCUGUGACUCCAGAGGAAGAAGGAAACGGAAAUAAUUCGUCAGCUAGAAAUAAUGACGUUGAGGCAUAUCGUAAAUCAGUUAAUGCAGGAAUU